GCCGAAGUGGCGGAAUUGGCAGACGCACCGGACUCAAAAUCCGGCGCCUUCGGGCGUGUGGGUUCGAUUCCCACCUUCGGCA
rnacentral:tRNA from 2 species